UAGGGAAUCUUCGGCAAUGGGGGGAACCCUGACCGAGCAACGCCGCGUGAGUGAAGAAGGUUUUCGGAUCGUAAAGCUCUGUUGUUAAGGAAGAACGAGUGUGAGAAUGGAAAGUUCAUACUGUGACGGUACUUAACCAGAAAGGGACGGCUAACUACGUGCCAGCAGCCGCGGUAAUACGUAGGUCCCGAGCGUUGUCCGGAUUUAGUGGACGUAAAGCGAGCGCAGGCGGUUAGAUAAGUCUGAAGUUAAAGGCAGGGGCUCAACCAUUGUAGGCUUUGGAAACUGUUUAACUUGAGGGCAGAAGGGGAGAGGGGAAUUCCAUGUGUAGCGGUGAAAUGCGUAGAUAUAUGGAGGAACACCGGUGGCGAAAGCGGCUCUCUGGUCUGUAAAUGACGCUGAGGCUCGAAAGCGUGGGGAGCGAACAGG
rnacentral:rRNA from 1 species